rnacentral:rRNA from 1 species
GACGAACGCUGGCGGCGUGCUUAACACAUGCAAGUCGAACGGAAAGACCCUGCUUUUGUGGGGUGCUCGAGUGGCGAACGGGUGAGUAACACGUGAGUAACCUGCCCUUGACUUUGGGAUAACUUCAGGAAACUGGGGCUAAUACCGGAUAGGAGCUCCUGCUGCAUGGUGGGGGUUGGAAAGUUUCGGCGGUUGGUGAUGGACUCGCGGCUUAUCAGCUUGUUGGUGGGGUAGUGGCUUACCAAGGCUUUGACGGGUAGCCGGCCUGAGAGGGUGACCGGCCACAUUGGGACUGAGAUACGGCCCAGACUCCUACGGGAGGCAGCAGUGGGGAAUAUUGCACAAUGGGCGGAAGCCUGAUGCAGCAACGCCGCGUGCGGGAUGACGGCCUUCGGGUUGUAAACCGCUUUCGCCUGUGACGAAGCGUGAGUGACGGUAAUGGGUAAAGAAGCACCGGCUAACUACGUG